AUGGGAAAAAAAGUAAUUAUUUUAUGGUUUUAUUGAGACAAGAUCUCACUGUAUAGCCUUGUCUAGCCUGGAAUUCACUACGUAGAGCUGGCUGUCCUUGAACAUACAGAGAUCUGUUCCUCUUUGCCUCCCAAGUACUGGGAUUGAAGGUAUGCGCUACGCCACCAUAUCCAGUCCUACAGACAUGAUCUUUAUGAUUUAAGGGUUUGUAGUAAGGUGAGGGAGGUAGCAAUCAGACAUUUAUAGAGCUUCAUUGUAGACCCAUGAAUUGCACUCACAGUAAAUUCUGCAGAUAUGGUAUUCAACCUUGUGAGCUUAGUGAUCCGUUGAAGUUUGUUGAAUCCUGUCCAUACCAUGAGUUAGGUAAAGGGAAUUUAAGAGCAGGCUAGGCAGAGUGGAAAAGUCAGCAAGGCCAUGUGGCCUAGGAAUGUCUUGGAUUUCUAAUGUCUAGGGUCCUGUGAGAAACCCUGUGGAGCUGGAGCAUAGUGAAUGAUUGCAGUGGUCUCCACUGGGAGGUGGGCUCUGUAAGCCCAUUAGGAAAGCCAUCUUACCUGAGAACCACUCAAAGCCGCUGCAUGGUUUUCUGCAUGCUCCCGUUGUGUUUUGGCAGCAUUUUCUCUCUGACCUCCAUUCUCAUGGCUGUGUCUUAGAUAUCAUAGUCCCCAGGUCUUCUCACCAGAGUCUCUCCAAACCUUCCAUCUAUCUCCUGCUUCCCUGAGAGCCCUGCCCUUUGAGAUUCCAGGUUUAAUAUUUUCUUCCUGUUUACUCGUGGGCAAAGAUCUUGGCUUCUUGCUCAUUCAGAUUCUUCCAUCGGCCUGUGGACCUCAACCCACUUCUGUCUGUCUGACUCUAGAAAGUAGUACUUCCACAAUUGUGAACUCCAGCCCCUCCUCUUCUGGCUCCUUCCACCCUGCUACUGCAGGUGACACCUUUGACUCGCUCUAAAGCCUAGGCUCCUUGGCUGCUCCCUUUCUUCCCACGUUGCCACCUCCCCCUGGCUUCUUUUUCUUUUCUGUCCAUCGUCAGCCCUACAGCUGAUCAUCUCACUAUCCCUGGCCCACUUCUCUCUCACCUUUGUCCCUCGCUAAGCCUGUGUUACAGAGGCUCAGUGCUAUGUCACAGCUGUAACUGGAUGCCUGCGUACUUGUAUGCCUAGUUCACUAAGCACUCUUAGGUGAAAUUAGUGACUGCUAAUAGUUGGCCAUGGAUUUUCUACUUGGUUUACAUGUAUUAUUUUACUUAAGAUGCAUUACCCCCCCCCCCGCCCCCCGCCGCCCUCUGGCUGUGUAUGGUGUAUAAGUAGGUGCAUUUUCUAGGUGUGUGAGUUCAUAUACAUCAUGUAAAGACCAAAGGAAGGUGUCAGGUAUCUUCCAUUAUUACUGUCUGCUGUAUUGCCUUAUAAUAGGGUCUUUUGUUGAAGCUCAUUGUUUGGUUAAGUUGGUUUGCCAGUGGGUUCCUGGGAUCUGCUGUCUCCAACCCCCACCCACCCUCACCCCACCCCGCUGCCAGGGUUAUAGGCAUGUGUAGCUAUGCCUGGCUUUUUAUGCGGGUACUGGAGAUUCAAACACAAGCCUUCAUAUUUACAUAGCAAGUCCUCUUACUGGCUGAGAUAUCUUCCUAGCUCCAGAAAGAUGCAUCAUUCCCAUUUUAGAGAGGAGAAAACUAAGGUUGAGUCAUUCAAUUACAAAGGAAUAUAGCCAAGGGAUACCCAACAUAUAACAGGGAUAUGCGAGAAGAGAAGGGUGCUGGCAAUAGAAAAAUUUUUGCCUUAGGAAAUAAACAAAUCUAGGUGUGGUGGAAUGAACCUUUAGUUCUUGUUUAGAGGCCAGAGGAGCUAUGUAGUGAUACUUUGACUCAAGGGGGAAAAAAGUACAAAAUAGUAACAAGG
rnacentral:lncRNA from 1 species